CGCGAUUACAACGAGUCGGGUUUCUGACAGCCUGUUCAUUCAGAAAUGUAGGCCACGACGGGAAGACUUUGAGUUUAAUCGGACGGUGUGGUAUCUCCACAAAGAUUGGUUGUAUAGCAGAGGACAAGAAUGUUAUACGCCCCAAACGCUUACCAAGGGACUCAGGGUGGGAAUAUCCUCUGCAAUUCAACCCAUGCUUGUUGCAAGAAGCUAAAAAGUGGAUCGGGUGGUCCAGCUCUGUGAAUUGGUUGAUUGCAUAUCAUCUUACCCCGACGACGUGAACAAUCCCCUGCCCAUAGAGCUGUGGAUCGGGAGGAGGGAGAGCUGAUGCCUCAUCCUCUACGAUGUCGAAAUUCUGCAAGAUAUUGGCCACACAAAGGAAGGUACGGAGACGCGAUAAACUCUCUCCAGGGCACAUCCUCUUUCCCAGGCCGAAAGGAAUAACACUGCAAUAAAAGUGUCUGGUCGUUCAAUACAAAUUCCUGUCCAAUGGAUCAAUAGAGGUAGCUCAUGAUCUCAUUAAAAUUGCAUCUUCUAUUCCGAUACAAUUCCUCUCUUUGAGAAGAUCCAUGGGAGGUUGUGUCAGCUAAACCCUAAAGCACCUAAUUCCUCGGUACAGUGAUUGAAUGAAGCAUUCUGGCCGGUAAAUCAGAUUUCUGUUGCUCGUUUUAGAAAGCUGACAUUCACGAAGUUAAACACAGGUUGACUUCAUUCUGACUGUGUGACUUUCUUGUGGGGGUGAUGAAGUCAGAUCUUCACGCAAAGAGGUACCGUAUGGGAGUAAAGAACCUGAGUUUAAUGAAAUGAAAUGGCUCAUGUUUGGAUAUUGUUUUAUCUAAGAAAUCUACCCUAAACACUUUUUUUCCAUCAAAUUGCACUUUCGACUAUAGAAAGUACAAUACAGUUUUCUUAUGAUUAUGAAAAUGGUUGAGUCGCUGUUGUUAAGUGUACUGAUUAUCCCAAAGCUGUUAAAUAUAUGCGUUCACAUCAACGAAUGUCAUUGGUCAAACUGAUUUUCUGGUUAUUCAGAGCUAAGCUUGCGUGAAUGACUGCAAACAUUACCUACAUGUCAAUGCUUUUAAUGCCUGACAAUAUUAUUCA